UUUGCAUAGAUUUUUAUGAGAGUUUAUGACUUUACACUAAUUUUACAAUUUUGCAUUACAAAUUUUGAAAGGGCAAUAUAUAAUCAUUUUAUAUUACCAAACAAAACAAAGAACGCAGAAUAUUAUUUGUUUUGAAUUCUAAGUAUUUUGGACAGCGUUUUAGUACGGUACUGUAUCUACUGUAACUACGGGUACCAUCAAUGCGGAUUUUAAACUCCCGAUUCGCGACCGGUGCCCAAUCAUGAAUAGGCUUAUUCACCCCUACUAACGUGUUCGGAACAUAUUCUUUAUCGGUGUUAAGUAGAGCGUAAAAUCAAAGACUAUCGAAUGAAAUAUAAUCUCGCUGCUCCGAGACUCCAACACGAGCUACCUGAGACCCGGUGAAUUUUCUACCGGAUAUGGAUGUGCUUUAAGGAAUUCCAGUGUUGAUUGAACUUUUUGGGGACUUUGAGUGAUUCACCACCCUUUGAACAAAUGUAUUUUGAGAUCCUCAAAGGAAUCCUAGAUUUGUCAAGAAGCCAUGUUUUAAUUGCUGCCCAUCAAAUAGUACAGUGUCUUGGAUGUGUAAAUUGGAAGUAUUCAGUGUCU